rnacentral:rRNA from 1 species
AUGGCAAAGUUCUACGGAAGCAACAAUCCCAAGGAGUACCUAUCAUGGGCAUUGAAAGUCGACAAGAUAUUUUGUCUUCACAACUACGAUGAGGAAAAGAAGAUCGCCAUGGCAUCCCUUGAGUUCCAAGACUAUAUCCUCAUUUGGUGGGAACAAGUCAUCGAGCGACGUCGCGAGAAGGAUGAGCCACCGAUCACGACAUGGACUCAAAUGAAGAACGUCAUGCGAGCCCGCUUCGUGCCAACAUACUACACACGAGAUCUCUUCAAGAAAUUGCAACUCCUCAAGCAAGGCAUGAAGACGGUGGAAGAAUACUAUCAAGAAAUGGAGAUUGCCAUGAUACGAGCCAAUGUCAAAGAAGAUGAUGAGCAAACAAUGGCACGCUUCUUGACCGGCCUCAACCACCCAAUACGAAUGAUUGCCGAUUUCCAACCUUAUUCCAACCUUCUCGAGCUAGUUCACCAAGAGACCAAGGCGGAACGACAAGUACAAGAAGAUUUCAAGUUCGCCAAGUACUCAUCCAAGACCUACGGCUCAUACACUCAAGCUACCCCUACUUCACCUUUGACACCCUCCUACCUCGACUAG